rnacentral:rRNA from 1 species
AAUCAACGCUGGCGGCGUGCCUAACACAUGCAAGUCGAACGCGAAAGGGGCUUCGGUCCUGAGUAGAGUGGCGUCCGGGUGAGUAACGCGUGGGUAAUCUACCCUUGGGUGGGGAAUAACCAGUCGAAAAGAUUGGCUAAUACCGCAUAAUGCAGCGGCUCGACAUCGAGACAGUUGUUAAAGCAGCAAUGCGCCAGAGGAGGAGCCUGCGUCUGAUAGCUUGUUGGCGGGGUAACGGCCCACCAAGGCUACGAUCAGUAGCUGGUCUGAGAGGACGGCCAGCCACAAUGGCACUGAAACACGGGCCAUACUCCUACGGGAGGCAGCAGUGGGAA